rnacentral:rRNA from 1 species
GUAGUCCACGCUGUAAACGAUGAGAACUAGAUGUUGGUAGGCAUGACCUAUUAGUAUCGAAGUUAACGCGAUAAGUUCUCCGCCUGGGGAGUACGACCGCAAGGUUAAAACUCAAAGGAAUUGACGGGGGCCCGCACAAGCGGUGGAUUAUGUGGUUUAAUUCGAUGAUACGCGAGGAACCUUACCAAGGCUUAAAUGGGAAUUGAUCGGUUUAGAAAUAGACCUUCCUUCGGGCAAUUUUCAAGGUGCUGCAUGGUUGUCGUCAGCUCGUGCCGUGAGGUGUUAGGUUAAGUCCUGCAACGAGCGCAACCCCUGUCACUAGUUGCCAUCAUUCAGUUGGGGACUCUAGUGAGACUGCCUACGCAAGUAGAGAGGAAGGUGGGGAUGACGUCAAAUCAUCACGGCCCUUACGCCUUGGGCCACACACGUAAUACAAUGGCCGGUACAGAGGGCAGCUACACAGCGAUGUGAUGCAAAUCUCGAAAGCCGGUCUCAGUUCGGAUUGGAGUCUGCAACUCGACUCUAUGAAGCUGGAAUCGCUAGUAAUCGCGCAUCAGCCAUGGCGCGGUGAAUACGUUCCCGGGCCUUGUACACACCGCCCGUCAAGCCAUGGAAGUCUGGGGUACCUGAAGUCGGUGACCGUAACAGGAGCUGCCUAGGGUAAAACAGGUAACUAGGGCU